CUACGUGCCAGCAGCCGCGGUAAUACGUAGGGUGCGAGCGUUAAUCGGAAUUACUGGGCGUAAAGCGGGCGCAGACGGUUACUUAAGCAGGAUGUGAAAUCCCCGGGCUCAACCUGGGAACUGCGUUCUGAACUGGGUGACUAGAGUGUGUCAGAGGGAGGUAGAAUUCCACGUGUAGCAGUGAAAUGCGUAGAGAUGUGGAGGAAUACCGAUGGCGAAGGCAGCCUCCUGGGAUAACACUGACGUUCAUGCCCGAAAGCGUGGGUAGCAAACAGGAUUAGAUACCCUGGUAGUCCACGCCCUAAACGAUGUCGAUUAGCUGUUGGGCAGCUUGACUGCUUAGUAGCGAAGCUAACGCGUGAAAUCGACCGCCUGGGGAGUACGGUCGCAAGAUUAAAACUCAAAGGAAUUGACGGGGACCCGCACAAGCGGUGGAUGAUGUGGAUUAAUUCGAUGCAACGCGAAGAACCUUACCUGGCCUUGACAU
rnacentral:rRNA from 1 species